rnacentral:rRNA from 1 species
UACGGGGGGGGUAAGCGUUGUUCGGAAUUACUGGGCGUAAAGGGCACGUAGGCGGCCAGCACAAGUCAGUUGUGAAAUCUCCGAGCUUAACUCGGAAAGGUCAACUGAUACUGUGCGGCUAGAGUGCGGAAGGGGCAACUGGAAUUCUUGGUGUAGCGGUGAAAUGCGUAGAUAUCAAGAGGAACACCUGCGGCGAAGGCGGGUUGCUGGGCCGACACUGACGCUGAGGCGCGAAAGCCAGGGGAGCGAACGGG